AUUGAAUCUUGUUUAUUAUUGUUGAUUUAUUGUAUCAAGCUUUUGUGGGUGAAGCAUAUUUAUUUGAUAGUGGUGCUACUUAUUCGUCGUGGGUGAGGUAGCUGGUGCGCAAGUAUGAGCUUGGAGAAUGAAGAUGGAAGCGCCACCAAUCACAUCUCUGAAAUUGGUGAUGAAGUUCGGAAGCAUCCAAAAGUAUCAUAUACAAGAGAGUUCCUUUUGUCACUCAGUCAACUGGAGAUUUGCCAGAAGCUACCAACUGGGUUUGAUCAGUUGAUCCUGAGUGAGCUCGAGGACACCUCACGUGGCAUACAA
rnacentral:misc_RNA from 1 species